AUUGAACGCUGGCGGCAUGCCUUACACAUGCAAGUCGAACGGCAGCAUGAUCUAGCUUGCUCGAUUGAUGGCGAGUGGCGAACGGGUGAGUAAUACAUCGGAACGUGCCCUGUAGUGGGGGAUAACUAGUCGAAAGAUUAGCUAAUACCGCAUACGACCUGAGGGUGAAAGUGGGGGACCGCAAGGCCUCAUGCUAUAGGAGCGGCCGAUGUCUGAUUAGCUAGUUGGUGAGGUACAGGCUCACCAAGGCGACGAUCAGUAGCUGGUCUGAGAGGACGAUCAGCCACACUGGGACUGAGACACGGCCCAGACUCCUACGGGAGGCAGCAGUGGGGAAUUUUGGACAAUGGGCGAAAGCCUGAUCCAGCAAUGCCGCGUGUGUGAAGAAGGCCUUCGGGUUGUAAAGCACUUUUGUCCGGAAAGAAAUGGCUCUGGUUAAUACCUGGGGUCGAUGACGGUACCGGAAGAAUAAGGACCGGCUAACUACGUG
rnacentral:rRNA from 1 species